GUGAGCAAGAUGGAGAAGCAGGGCACGUGCACUACUAACUCAUGCACACAGAGAGGGAGACGCAUUUCUUGCUGGAGUUACGAGUUACGACUCUUACCUACUAUUGAUUUUGUUAGCUCCAGUGAGUUAGUUAUUCAUGUGCCUGUCUUCCUCAUCAUGAUCAC
rnacentral:pre_miRNA from 13 species